AACAACAUGUCUUAUAGAAUUUAAUUUUAAGUCUAAAAUCUGCUCAAUGAAUUAAUUUUACAAUAGCUGCAGCAUAAUUAACUGUACAAAGGUAGCAUAAUAAAUUGUCUUUUAAUUAAAGAAUGGAAUGAAAGAAUUAAUGAAAUAUAUACUGUCUCUAUUAUAUAUUAUGAAAUUAAAUUUUUAGUUAAAAUGCUAAAAUUUAAUUAUGGGACGAUAAGACCCUAUAGAAUUUUAUUUUAAAUUAUUAUAAUUGUAAUUUUUAUUAAUAUAAUUAUAAUAAUUUAAAAUUUAAUUGGGAGGAUUAAUAAUUAAAUAAACUUUAUUUAUAAAAAAACUUUGAUUUAAGAAUAAUAAAAUUUGAUAUAAUAUUAUUAAUUAUAAGAAUAAAUUACCUUAGGGAUAACAGCGUAAUAUUUUUUAAAAGAUCAUAUUAAUAAAAAUGUUUGCGACCUCGAUGUUGAAUUAAGAUAAAUUUUAAAUGGAGAAAUUUAAAAAUUAAGUCUGUUCGACUUUUAAAAUCUUACAUGAUUUGAGUUCAGAUCGA
rnacentral:rRNA from 1 species